rnacentral:rRNA from 1 species
UGGGGGAUAUUGCACAAUGGGGGAAACCCUGAUGCAGCGACGCCGCGUGAGUGAAGAAGUAUUUCGGUAUGUAAAGCUCUGUCAGCAGGGAAAAAGGAAGAUGGUACCUGACCAAGAAGCCCCGGCUAACUACGUGCCAGCAGCCGCGGUAAUACGUAGGGGGCAAGCGUUAUCCGGAUUUACUGGGUGUAAAGGGAGCGUAGACGGCGAGGCAAGUCUGGAGUGAAAGGCCGGGGCCCAACCCCGGGACUGCUCUGGAAACUGUCUGGCUGGAGUACAGGAGAGGCAAGUGGAAUUCCUGGUGUAGCGGUGAAAUGCGUAGAUAUCAGGAGGAACACCAGUGGCGAAGGCGGCUUGCUGGACUGUGACUGACGUUGAGGCUCGAAAGCGUGGGGAGCAAACAGG